AAUCAACGCUGGCGGCGUGCCUCAGACAUGCAAGUCGAACGAUUAAACUUUCCUUCGGGGAAGAUAUAGAGUGGCGCACGGGUGAGUAACACGUAAGUAAUCUACCCUUGGGUGGGGAAUAACAUCGGGAAACCGAUGCUAAUACCGCAUAAUGCAGCGGCUUCUUAUGAAGACAGUUGUUAAAGCAUUUAUGUGCCUGAGGAGGAGCUUGCGGCAGAUUAGCAGUUGGUAAGGUAAUGGCUUACCAAGGCGACGAUCUGUAGCCGACCUGAGAGGGUGGUCGGUCACACUGACACUGAAUAACGGGUCAGACUCCUACGGGAGGCAGCAGUCGGGAAUUUUGGGCAAUGGGCGCAAGCCUGACCCAGCAACGCCGCGUGAA
rnacentral:rRNA from 1 species